rnacentral:rRNA from 1 species
AACGACUCUCGGCAACGGAUAUCUCGGCUCUCGCAUNGAUGAAGAACGUAGCGAAAUGNGAUACUUGGUGUGAAUUGCAGAAUCCCGUGAACCAUNGAGUCUUUGAACGCAAGUUGCGCCCGAAGCCAUUUGGCCGAGGGCACGUCUGCCUGGGCGUCACGC